rnacentral:rRNA from 1 species
AAUAGAAAGUAAUUAAGGGCGUAUGGCGGAUGCCUAGGCUCACGGAGGCGAUGAAGGACGUGAUAAGCUGCGAUAAGCUUCGGGUAGGUGCAAAUGACCUUUGAUCCGAGGAUUUCCGAAUGGGACAACCUGACUGUCUGAAGGACGGUCACCUAUAUAUUUUUUAUGGGAGCUAACGCAGGGAACUGAAACAUCUUAGUACCUGUAGGAAGAGAAAAUAAUUUAAUGAUUCCCCUAGUAGUGGCGAGCGAACGGGGAAGAGCCCAAACCUAUGACGUAGCAAUGCGCUAUAGGGGUUGUAGGACCACGUUAUCGUACUUUGAUUGUGAGGAGAAUGUUCUGGAAAGUUCAAUCGUAGUGGGUGAUAAUCCUGUAUCCGAAGCUUGAUGAGGCGUAGUGAUAUCCUGAGUAGCGCGGAGCACGAGUAAUUCUGCAUGAAUCUGCCGGGACCAUCCGGUAAGGCUAAAUACUCCCGUGAGACCGAUAGUGAAUUAGUACCGUGAGGGAAAGGUGAAAAGCACUCCUAUUAGGAGAGUGAAAUAGUUCCUGAAACCAUACGCCUACAAGCGGUCGGAGCAUAUUUUUAUGUGACGGCGUGCCUUUUGCAUAAUGAACCUACGAGUUACCAUGUCCAGCGAGGUUAAGGGGU